rnacentral:rRNA from 1 species
UACGGAGGGUGCAAGCGUUAUCCGGAUUUACUGGGUUUAAAGGGUGUGUAGGCGGUUUGGUAAGUCUGGUGUGAAAUCUCCCGGCUCAACUGGGAGGGUGCGCCGGAAACUGCCGGACUAGAGUGCGGGAGAGGAGAGUGGAAUUCCUGGUGUAGCGGUGAAAUGCGUAGAUAUCAGGAGGAACACCGGUGGUGUAGACGGCUCUCUGGACCGUAACUGACGCUGAGACACGAAAGCGUGGGUAGCAAACAGG